rnacentral:tmRNA from 1 species
GGGGGCGACCUGGCUUCGACGUGGGUUGCAAAACCUGAGGUGCAUGCCGAGGUGCAGGAUACCUCGUAAAUCCAUCUGCAAACUUAUAGUUGCCAACGACGACAACUACGCACUCGCAGCUUAAACCCCUGUAGGGUGCCGUCUGACUGGAGCCGUGCAUGUGCGUCCAGAGUUUCCGGUUUUCGAACUGGUAACACUCAGGCGUCGACUCU